AUGGCUAAUGCUGCUGUGAUUUCUCUGGUAUGAUCUUUGGAGGAACUGGUGCAGCGAAAACCACAUUUGAUAAGUGAUGAAACAAGAAGAAUGGUGGAUUCUGUCCUUGAUAGUCUUGAAUAUUUCCAAGACUUUCUUGAGAGCACUAGCAAGAGAAGGCAAAAAUAUUGUAGAAAGGUUGAAGAGUUGGAGAGAGAGAUUAGAAUGGAAGUCGAAAAAGCAGAAGAUGUGAUUGAACUAAAGAUCAUGUAUGGGAUAAUGAAAAAAGAGGGAUUAUCCAAGACUUUCUUGAGAACACUUGUAGGAAAGAUUGAUGCACCAAGGGAAAGAAAGGCAAUACGCAAAACGUUGCUACCAUUUGUAAAAAAGAUUGAUGCUGUGAAGAGUAAUGUGAUGGGAAGUAGUUUUGGUACAAAUCAAGUUCAAGGCUAUGAUGAUUCUACAAAUGAGGAUUUGUUGCCUGGUCUUUCAUCGAGAAAUGUUGCAAAACUGAAUCCAGAAAAUAUUGUCGUGGGUCUUGAAGAUGACCUCAUGAGAAUAAUCAGAAGACUGAAAGGGCCAACGUUAACUCGAGAGAUUAUCCCCAUUUUAGGAAUGGGGGAAUAGGAAAAACCACUCUUGCUAGAAAGGCUUUUGAUGAUUUUGAAACUAGGCAUCGCUUUGACAUCCGUAUUUGGGUGACCGUAUCUCAAGAGUAUCGGAUAAAAGGUAUGCUGUUGGACAUUCUUCGUUGUACUUCAGAUGAGACCAAUGAAAAGUCUAAUGAUCGGUUGAUGGAUAUGAUACACAAGAAGUUAAAGGGUUGGAGAUAUCUUGUUGUAAUGGAUGAUAUUUGGAGUAGUGAUGUCUGGGAUCUUAUGACAAGAACUUUUCCAGAUGAUAACAAUGGGAGCCGAAUUAUUUUGACUAGUAGGCAAGAAGAGGUUGCUAAUCAUGCAGAUCCUGAUAGCAAUCCUCAUAAAAUGAACCUCUUAAAUUCAGAUAAUAGUUGGAAGUUACUUCGUGACAAAGUGUUUGGGGUAGAACAUGCAUGUCCUCCUGAAUUGGAGGAUAUUGGAGAACAAGUAGCACAAAGAUGCCAAGGACUGCCCUUAGCUCUUCUAGUGGUAGCGGGACAUCUCUCUAAAAUUUCUAGAACACGAGAAAGUUGGAAAGAUGUUGCCAAAAGUGUAAGUAAAGUUGUUGCUGAUGAAUCAGAUAUAUGUCUAGGAGUGCUUGCUAUGAGUUACAAUUACUUACCUGAUCAUCUUAAACCAUGUUUCCUUUACAUGGGAGUCUUUCCCGAAGACAGUGUUGUUAACAUUGUUAGAUUGAUCAACUUAUGGAUUUCUGAGGGUUUUAUAGCAGAUGAAUUAGAGGGAAGAGAUUGCUUGGAGGAUCUUGUUAGCAGGAAUCUGGUAAUGGUUAGAAACAGGAGUUUUAAUGGCGAGGCAAAAACAUGUGGUGUCCAUGAUCUGAUUCGUGAUUUGAUUUUAAGAGAAGCCGAGAAAGAGAAGUUCCUAGAGGUUACUAGAAUUCAUGAAGCCACUAAUCCUUCGGCAGAGAAGCUUAGAAGUGCUCGUCGCUAUUGUUUCCAUUCAUGCGAUCAGGCUGUUUUUUGGAAGCUAUCCAGUAUCAUCCGAACAUUGCACUUCUUCGAUGGAUUUCAAAAACUUUCUAAACAAGUUCCUCUUUUGGUGUCCUUCAAAUUGCUAAGAGUGUUGGCAAUCCUAAAUGUAACAUUUCAAACAUUCCCACUUGAGAUAACAAAAUUAGUACAACUCAGAUACCUUCAAUUCACUUGUUAUGAUGAUAUUCACUGGUCAGUGUCAAAGCUUUAUAAUCUGCAGACAUUCAUUCUUGGUUAUGGAGUUGCAGGUUUAUUACCUCCAACCAUACCUGCGGGAAUUUGGCAAAUGAGCAACCUAAGGCAUCUUCAUAUCGGCGACUUCUUUUCUUUCCCUAUUCCAUCAAACAAGCUACAAAAUUUACAGGAACUCUCCCGUCUAGCUUUGACUAGCUGCACUUCUGAAUUAUUUUCUGCUAUUCCCAAUCUUAAAAAGCUGAAAAUUAUUGGAAAUUAUCUGAUGGAAAUGAAGAGAGAGCGCCUAAAUAGCCUUUCCUGUUUAAAAAAACUUGAAAUCUUGAAGUACAGGGAUGACGGGAUACAACCUUCCCAAAUCCCAAGUAAGUAUGUUUUGCCUGCAUCACUGAAGAGGUUGACUUUAAGUUGCACUAGUUUACCAUGGAAAGACAUGGCAAAUGUUAUAACAUUACCAAACCUCGAGGUGCUUAAAAUUAAAGACAACGGAUUUCUUGGUGAUGAAUGGAUGUUAAACGAUGAAGAGAUUUUCAGGCAACUUAAGUUCCUCCUAAUCAGUUGGACAGGUCUGAAGCACUGGAAAGCUGGUAGUGUUAACUUCCCAAAGCUGCAACGCCUAUUUCUGAAAAGAUGCAUGAACCUGGAGAAAAUCCCUCAAGACUUUGGGGAAAUAUGUACCUUGGAGUCAAUAGAGUUGCAUAAAUGCAGUAUAUCUGCAGCUAAAUCCGGCAAAGACAUUCAAGAAGAACAGGAGAGCAUGGGGAAUGAAUGUCUUAAUGUCCUCAUCUAUAAUCAUCCGUCAUCUUCAGCUCAGCAUAUUUGAUCAACAAAGUUGUGGAGAAAAUGGUGUGCGUAUGAUUGACUCGACUCUCCAACAAGGGGAGAUCACGUAACUUGUUCAUUUGCAAGUUAAGUCUCUUUUCUGUUCCUUAUAACAAUGAUUAAAGGACCUGAUUGUUAUGUAGGUUGUGUUGCUCUUAUUUUUGUAAUUUUUUUGCAAGCUAGACAUUAUAUGACUAGAAUUCCAUUGUCCUUUCCUGACGAGUUUGAGUAG